GAUGAACGCUGGCGGCGUGCCUAAUACAUGCAAGUCGAGCGAACAGACGAUGAGCUUGCUCCUCUGACGUUAGCGGCGGACGGGUGAGUAACACGUGGAUAACCUACCUAUAAGACUGGGAUAACUUCGGGAAACCGGAGCUAAUACCGGAUAAUAUAUUGAACGGCAUGGUUCAAUAGUGAAAGACGGUUUUGCUGUCACUUAGAGAUGGAUCCGCGCGGCAUUAGCUAGUUGGUAAGGUAACGGCUUACCAAGGCAACGAUGCUGAGCCGACCUGAUAGAGUGAUCGGCAAACCUGGACCUGGGCACGGGCCCAGACCCCUACGGGAGGCAGCAGUAGGGAAUCUUGAGAAAUGGGCGAAAGCCUGACGGAGCAACGCGGGGUGAGUGAUGAAGGUCUCCGGUUCGUAAAACUCUGUUAUUAGGGAAGAAAAAAGGUGUUAGUAACUCUGCACGUCUGGACGGUACCUAAGCAUAAAGCCAGGGUUACCUCCGU
rnacentral:rRNA from 1 species